rnacentral:rRNA from 1 species
GUGAACAUACCUCGCGUUGCCUCGGCAGGUGGCGUCCUACCCCGUGAUACCUACCCUGUAGGACCUACCCGGUAGGCGACCCUGCCGACGGCCCCCGAAACUCUGUUUUUAUAGCAUUGGACUUCUGAAAAGAUAACUAAAUAAGUUAAAACUUUCAACAACGGAUCUCUUGGUUCUGGCAUCGAUGAAGAACGCAGCGAAAUGCGAUAAGUAAUGUGAAUUGCAGAAUUCAGUGAAUCAUCGAAUCUUUGAACGCACAUUGCGCCCACUAGUAUUCUGGUGGGCAUGCCUGUUCGAGCGUCAUUUCAACCCUUAAGCCCCCGUUGCUUAGUGUUGGGAGCCUACUGGAACUCUCCUGUAGCUCCCCAAAGUCAGUGGCGGAGCCGGUUCGCACUCCAGACGUAGUAGCUUUUACACAUCGCCUGUAGCUUGGACCCGGUCCCCUGCCGUAAAACACCCCCCAAUUUUAUAGGUUGACCUCGGAUCAGGUAGGAAUACCCGCUGAACUUAAGCAUAUCAAUAAGCGGAGGAA